UGGGCAUAACCAUAAAAUCUUAAGACAUUGUUUUAGUGGAACUCUCAAGAAAAAAUUCUAGGGGGAGAGGAUUAAGCCAAGUGGUUAAGCCAAACCUCUAUAGAUCCUGGUGUAAUCUUUCUAUCCCUAUCUCUUUACUUUUUUUUGUUUUUAAGUAAAAGAAUUUUUUAAAUUAAUCACAAUUUCUACACUAUACAAUUCAACCCAUUCAUCUCUUGUGGUUGGA
rnacentral:lncRNA from 1 species